UGCUGGGACCAGAACUUGGGUCUUCUGCAAGAUCACGACCCCCAGAAAGCCGGUCGAAUGGACGGACCCUGAAAGAGGAGUGAUUCUUUCCUGACCAGUGUUGUUAACGGAAGGGCUUGACUCAUAAGCCAAUCACACCCUCGAGAGGGUGGAGUUUUCAUCGGUGCUUCCAUCUCCAACCAAUCAGAGGGAAGGCAGAAGCGCAGUCCUCCAAUGGGAGUUGAGGAGCCCGCGGUAGUGAUGGAGCCCCGCUACCCUGCCAUCGCUCCGCUGAGCGUCGCGUGAAGCAUCCGUGAUCUGCGAGAUCUUGCUGUGGGCCAGGUAUCCAUUCUCCUGCGGCAGCUGUUAGAACCUACGGAGGCUAGAGGUUUUGUGGAAGCCAGAAGAAGGCGUUGGAUCCCCCUGGAGCUGGAGCUACAGGCAAUUGUGAACCAAGCAAGGUUGCUGGAAACUGAAGUUGGGGUCCUGUGGAAGAACAGGCUGAACUGUUAACUGCUGAGCCAUCUCUCCAGCCCCAAAGAACAUCCACCAUUGUUAGAUCCAUCACCCUGCAUCUAGCUUGGACAUCAUUCAAAGGGCUCAUCGGGAGUAUCUGAUAUUCAGGAAGACAGUUUCAGGGUUUCUGCCUGGAGCUGCACCCUCCAGAAGCUCCUGCUUGGCUUCCCAGCACCCAAUCCCAUCCCAACCAGUUACGACUUGGGCAGUGAUUGGUGUUUCUUGGAAACUGGAACACGGACUCCUCCGACUGCACUCCAAGCCUUUUAUCCUCAGUGAGCAGAAGACCACAGAAGCUGGCUGCUGAAGAGGCUGUCCAAAUGGCAGUGCGCCUCACUGGCCUUGCUUAGUGCCUUUACCACAGAACAGUUGCUGAGUGCUGAAUCUGUGCCCAGCACCCGCAGCCACUACAGAGAAUUCGUCAGGCCCCACGUCACUAAGGGCCACUCCAGAGGAGGCUAGAAAGAGGCGAUCUUCAUAGGCUCCGCACUGCCUAGAGUCCUACACCUUAUAGUACUACUGAUAAUUUAUUUUUGUCUCUUGUGGAUGUCGUUUUGGAUAUAGUUUCUUAGGAAUUGGUCCAGUUUGUCUGUGUUUCUAAAUUCUCUGGCCUAAAGUUCCAUUCUGAAAUUCUCUGCUACAUAUAAUCUGUAACUAUGUCGCCUUUUUCAUUGCUAAUCCUGGUCAUUUGUGCCUUCUCCCUCUUUUUCCUGAUCAAUCUCAGCAGAGGUUUGUCUCUUUUGUUAGUCUUUACAAAGAACCAACUUUUGGCUUUGCUGCUCCUCUCUAUUGUGUCUUUGUUUUCUAUUUCUUUAAUUUCUGCGCUUAUCUUCUUUGAUCUCCUUCCUUCCACAUUUUUUGGAUUUAUUCUACUGUUGUUUUUCUGACUUCUUAAAUUGUAUAUUGAGCUCAUUCAUUUUCAGUAUUAUUUUCCUUUUUCUGUUUGCUUGUUUUUGAUGUUUGUUUUUCUUUGAGACAGGAUCUCACUCUGUAGCCUAAGCUAACCUCAAAUUCGUGAUAAUCUCUUCCCUAGCCUCCCCAGUGCAGGGAUUACAGGCAUGAGGCACUGAGCCUAGCUUUCAGCCUUUCUUGUUUUCUAAUUUAUAUAUUUAAAAGCUACAAAUUUCCCGCUAAUGCUACUUUCUUACAUAAUGGUAUAUUGUAGUAAUUUCAUUGCUGUUCAGUUCCAGGAGCUUCAGCAUAUCUAUUAUCAUUGCUUAUUUGACUCGUGAAUUAAACAGAAGUAUGUUUAAGUUCCCAGAUGUUUGGGGGAUUCUUAAGUUUGUUCUACUAUAGAAAUCUGUCUUAAUUAUGUUCAGAUGAUGUGGUUUAUGUGAUAACUGAAAUUUAUUGAGACUUGUUCUAUUGCUUAGUACAUGAUUGAUAAUUAUUAAUGUUUCCUAUGUGCUCUAUAAGAAUGUGUGUCCUCUAAUUGAAUAUACAGAUCUACAUGUGUCUAUUAGCAACGAUCUUAUUCAAGUUGUAUUUAUGUAAGCUGAUUGUUUUUGUUAUGAACUACCAGUAAUUUUGAAAUUCUGACACUGGAAUUACCUGUUUUCUUCUUAGAGUUUCCUUUUUUAACAUAAAUUAAGAAUUGUUAUAUUUCUGGUAAAUGUGUAAUAUCCUCUCUAUUCCUGAUAAUAGAGGAAUUCUGCUAGAUUAUCUUGUAUUGAUAUAACAGCACAAGCUUUUCUUCUUGUUAGAGUUUGUGUGGCAUAAUUUUCUAUCUUUUUACUUUUGAGAAUUUUUUACACCUUUGUGUUUUAAUUUAUAUUUCUUGAAAACAGCAUAUGGCUGAACAUUUUUUAAAAAUCUAAUCUAAGGCUGGGUGUGGUGGCGCACACCUUUAAUCCCAGCACUUGGGAGGCUGAGGCAGGUGGAUCUCUGUGCAUUUGAGGCCAGCCUGGUCUACAUAGUGAGUUUCAGGCCAGCCAGGGCUAUACAGUGAGACCCUGUCUUGAAAAAAGCUUAACUAAUGACCUCUGCCUUUAAAAGUUGGCAAGUUUGGUUUACAUUUGCUACAGGAUGUUUGGACAUGUUUCUAGUAUCACCUUGUUGUUUUGGUUUUCCACUACUUUUUGUAUGUUCAGCUUUCUCUUUUCUCACCUGCUUUUGUAGUUCCUUCUAAUUUUUUAGUUCCUUCUAGGAUGUGUUUUUCUUUUCUUUCGUUUCCUUGAAAUUCUAGCAUGUGUGUUUAACUUGCAAAGCUUAAACAAUAUUUUCAGUGUAUCUUGGAGAGUGUGAGAAGCUUAGAAAUUAGCAGUUUUAGUCAUUCCUCUCCUGACCAUUUGAUUUUGUUUGCAACUAUGUAGAUAUAUUCCUUGUUUUCUUUGUAAUCUCAUAAUUAUAUAUUAUCAGUAUUAUUUUCAGUCUUAUUUGCUCUGAUUUACAUGCAUACGUUCUUGCAUCUAAGACCCCAUUAAUGGCAUCAUUUUCUCUCAUUGUGAACAAGUGUUUAUCCUUUUAGUUUAGAUUUCUUGAUAUUAAACUCGCCAGUCUUUGUUGUGUGAAAAAGCUUUAUCUUUAUCUUUAGAAGAGUUUGCUCACCUUUAAAAUCCACGUAUCUCUUCUCUUUGGCUGUGAGAUGUAUGCCUUGUUGCCUUUCAAAAGCGCCAUGAGUCUAACUGUGAUUAGGUUUCAUUUGUUUUCUGAGCAGGGUGUGCAGGGAGUGCUGUGGUUUCAUUAUAACAUGUUUCGACUUGUUUCUUCAUUUAUUCUGCUUUGAAAACGUGUUUAAUGGCUUAGUAGAAAUGUGUGUUUUUUAUAAUAUCUGGAAAAUUCUCAACUGUUAGAUUCUUUCUGGAUUUUUAUUUUCUCAGAAUCCAAUUACUCAUAUUGUGUGCCUCUUAAUUCUGUUCUUCAUAACUCAUAAUAACCCUUUGAUUAUUUUCUAACUCCUUAUACUUCAUUUGGGGAAAUUUCAUUGGGUAUAUGCUUUAGUUUAUUCUCUUUUCAGUUAUUUUUAAUCUGCCUUCUCCUUUUUUCCAUUGAGUUUUUCUAUUUAAAAAUUUGUCUUUUUCUUUGUAAAAGGUUCGUUUACUUUCUCAUCUGUCUAGCUAUCCCCAAUUAAGUCUCUUGUGUUGCUCAUCUUUGUGAUUACAUCUAUCUUUAAGUAUAAUUUUUUUGUUGUCAGACUGCUUUUUUUGCAUGAGUAUGACAUUAUAAAUAUUGCUCCCAUCUCAAGUGCACAGCGCACUGAUUACAUCGUCUUGUUGCACACCUUCUUGCUUUCCUAAAAGCCAGUGUUCUAGUAAUUUGUUUUCUUUUCCUGGGGUUGUAGGACCCGUUACUAAUUCUUGGCAAUUCUACAAGAAUUAAAAAUUCUUCUUAGAAAGUGUUUGUGAAAUCCAAAUCAGAUCAUGCCUCUGUUCUGCUUAGACUCCUCCCCUGGCACCCAGUUGCCUCAGUACGAAAGCCAGAGUCAUCUCAUCUCCGUGGCCCAGACCUUCCUCCCAGUCUUGUUCAGUCCCUCCCCGGUCUCAUUGCUCUCAGUCUCACUCUGCUCUGGCUAUACUGGCCUUUCUCCUAUUCCUCAAGCAUGCUAGGGGCCUUCCAAUCAGGACCUUUGUAUUUGCUGUUGUCACUACCUGGAACACCCUUCCGUCCAAAUAAUGUGAUGACUUGAUCAAGUAUUUCCAUUAUGUUCAAAUGUUACUUCCCUUCGAGAAGUAUUUCCUAACCACCAUAUAUCAAAUGGCCCUAUCACUCUCCACGUUGUGUCUUAUCCUAUUUUCUGUUAUAUCCUCUACAAAGCACUGAUCACUACUUGAUAUAUUUUAUAUUUAUUUGUUGUAGUCAGUGUUUGUGUCUACCAAAUAGACGGUAAGCUCCUCAAAGCAGAGAUUUCUGGUGUGGUUUACUGCUGUAUCCCCAGUGUCAAGAACAGUGUAUAAUAAUAUUCAGUGAACAUUAAAUAAAAUAUUUGUGGAAUAAAAU